UCCGAAGGGGGCUAGCGUUGCUCGGAAUUACUGGGCGUAAAGGGCGCGUAGGCGGAUAGUUUAGUCAGAGGUGAAAGCCCAGGGCUCAACCUUGGAACUGCCUUUGAUACUGGCUAUCUUGAGUUCGGGAGAGGUGAGUGGAAUGCCGAGUGUAGAGGUGAAAUUCGUAGAUAUUCGGCGGAACACCAGUGGCGAAGGCGACUCACUGGCCCGAUACUGACGCUGAGGCGCGAAAGCGUGGGGAGCAAACAGG
rnacentral:rRNA from 1 species